UUUGACACGAAGGCGGAAAUCAUGGCCGCUUCCAUCGGCGCCAUGAGCCCUCUUCUCCUCACUGGAAUCGGGUUCUCAAUCUGGAAAUACAUUCAAAGCAAGAGCCAGGAUAUUCCAUUCGAGCGGGCGCCCUCGGAACUCUCGGACGACUUCGCCGAGCCGAGGCGUGGAUCCAAAGGAAGGGUGAGCCCGCUGGGGGAAUACAACAACUACGCACGUCGUGGAUCCACCCCUCUUUCUCUCACGGAUACGGAGAAUGAGUAUUACCUAUCGGAAACGCCGAACUCGGAGACUCCGAUGGCGGACUUGAAUCAAGACGAUAGAUGGAGCUCACCCUCCCGGGCGCCACCGCCUUCCAACGCCGGACGGGCCAUGGUGGCUCCAGCCAAAUCCGAGUCCCUGAAUGGGUGGAUGUUCUGAAUUAUCCAAGCCCGAUGACCGUAUUGUCCAUGUGUUAAAAAGUGGGCUUGUGAAGAGGGGGAGGGGUGUAUUAACAUGUUUUAAAGAUGAAUGAAAAAAUACUGUGCGAUUUGGUUUUAGAUGUUAAAGCAUAAUUUAACUACACCCCUCCUUUUUUUUUUUUUUUAGCAAAACGUCUUUUCGAUUGUUUAUGGAAGGCACUUUGAAAAAAUUUCCACAGUGAUUAUCGAUUUGAGUAUUUAAAGUUUAAAUUUGGUUUAAUAAACAAUAAUUCAUAAAUUCAUUUUUAUUAAACUUAAGUUUGAUUAUGUCAUCUUUGAUAAUUUCCAAAUAUAUUAAAACAGUAUUAUUUACAUUGUAUCAAAUGCGGUGCUAAUCUAUCGCUGUUUAUGCUAUAAUUUUGUUUUUAUGAAGUAAACUUUCAAUGAAAUAUUAUUUAAAUGCGAUAUUAAUGUUUUAAUAUUUUGAAUGAAAUAUUGAUAAGGUACCUGAUUGAUUUAUUAUAUAAUAUUGCUUUUAAAAAUAUUCGGCUGUUACGUGAACACGUAUACGGUGAUACUAAUUUAUACGGUGAUACUUAUUUAUACUAAGAUGCCAAUCAAUGUCAUGUAUUUUUAUUUUGACAAUAAAGGAGUUGACCUUUGCAUAAAAUUAUAGUGUUUUUAAAAUUAGAAACUUCAGAUGAAAAACAUUACUAUUUCUCUUUUGAAUCAGCAUUCAAUAUACAGCAAAGUAUAGAUCUUAAGACAUUUUCUAUUCUGAUUCAAAUAUCGUUUUAACUACAAGUUUAUGUCAUAAACGUCUUGUGAUUGAAAAAAAAUCGAAGAUAAAAUAAAAGUAUAAUUUGUU
rnacentral:misc_RNA from 1 species